rnacentral:ncRNA from 1 species
AAGUAAACAGGCUAUGGCAUCAGCCUAGGCAUACCAGUAUUAGUGCCUGAACCGCCCCCAGUGGCUGAUGAUGCCUACCGUAUA